rnacentral:rRNA from 1 species
GACGAACGCUGGCGGCGUGCUUAACACAUGCAAGUCGAACGGAAAGGCCCUGCUUUUGUGGGGUGCUCGAGUGGCGAACGGGUGAGUAACACGUGAGUAACCUGCCCUUGACUUUGGGAUAACUUAAGGAAACUGGGGCUAAUACCGGAUAGGAGCUCCUGCUGCAUGGUGGGGGUUGGAAAGUUUCGGCGGGUGGGGAUGGACUCGCGGCUUAUCAGCUAGUUGGUGGGGUAGUGGCUUACCAAGGCUUUGACGGGUAGCCGGCCUGAGAGGGUGACCGGCCACAUUGGGACUGAGAUACGGCCCAGACUCCUACGGGAGGCAGCAGUGGGGAAUAUUGCACAAUGGGCGGAAGCCUGAUGCAGCAACGCCGCGUGCGGGAUGACGGCCUUCGGGUUGUAAACCGCUUUCGCCUGUGACGAAGCGUGAGUGACGGUAAUGGGUAAAGAAGCACCGGCUAACUACGUG